rnacentral:rRNA from 1 species
AUUGAACGCUGGCGGCAGGCCUAACACAUGCAAGUCGAACGCGUGGCGGACGGGUGAGUCAUGUCUGGGACACUGCCUGAUGGCUGGGGAUAACUACUGGAAACGGUAGCUAAUACCGCAUACCAUCAGAUGUGCGCAGAUGGUAUUAGCUUGUUGGUGGGGUAACGGCUCACCAAGGCGCCGAUCCCUAGCUGGUCUGAGAGGAUGACGAGCCACACUGGAAAUGAGACACGGUCCAGACUCCUACGGGAGGCAGCAGUGGGGAAGAUUGCGCAAUGGGCGCAAGCCUGACGCAGCCAUGCCGCGUGUAUGAAGAAGGCCUUCGGGUUGUAAAGUACUGUCAGCGGGGAGGCGUUACCCGCAGAAGAAGCACCGGCUAACUCCGUGCCAGCAGCCGCGGUAAUUC